GUUCUAGCGUCAGCAGCACUUAUGCUAAAAUCGGAACAAUACUGAGAAGAUUAACGUGGUCCCUGCACAGCAAGGACAGGCAAAUUCCUGAAGGAUUCCGCAUUUUU
ensembl:snRNA U6 U6 spliceosomal RNA